rnacentral:lncRNA from 1 species
UAGUUUUGAUGCCUUCAGGGAGAAUCUACAAUGUAAAUAGUCAUGAAAAUAAAGAAAACACAUUGAAAAAGAGAACGUGUGUUCAAAAUGUUGCCCUGUACUGUAGAGAAUAGCUAGAAUUUAGUACAACACUGGGUAAUGUUAGUACUUUAAAGCAGUUAUUUAACCCUGGUCACUGCCCUAAAAUUGUGUUUUUCACCUGAUCCAACUGAUCAGCUAAUUAACAAUCCUUUAUUGAGUUUACCUGUUAAAAUGUUUUAGCCCCAAAAGGAUCAUAAAUCAAUCAUUAUGUAAAUCCCGCAGUGUAUUAGACAUUUGUAUUUUACAGUAACACCACAGUAAGACCACAAAUCAACCGGUUAUAAUUUUAAGUUGUAAGAUGUGUUUCUGUAUGGUGUUUUUAAAUUCAUGCUCGAUUUGCCCCCUUUUAAUUUUGAGUAUCAGCCCCUCCAAAGGUCUCUGCAUGGCCCUUUAGAAGAUAAUACAAAUAUUAUUUUCCCUACAUAAAAACUCAAUACAAUACAAAGUGUAUUAAACUGUUAUUAUAGAGAGAUGUUAUUAUAGAGAGAUGAUAGAAUUUGACUACAGUGAGGACGAAGUGCCCUUUAUUAUUGCGCAUAGAGUUCUAGAGAACAUUAGAGAGAAGUACAUGGGGUGUCUUGAACAAUUGCGUGCAUCACCCAUUAGAUUGCCGCCAAAAAGGCAGAGUGUACCAUGCGAUGUUCAAGCCCCACAGGCUGUAGUGGAACAGGAGGCUGUUGAGCCUCCAAAACCAUCAAAAGCGGACAUUCAGGCUGCUCGUGAGAAGGAGGUCAACUGGCCCACAUUAUUAUUCGAGGAGUUCUGUAAAAUCGAUUGUGACAGGAUGCUCAACCUUCUCUGCGGCGAAAAGGACGAUGGGUCUUUUCGUGUCACUCAUUCUGUCAGAGAGAGUAUUAGAAAGAGGCACAAGGAGCAUCUUGAACAAUUGUGCAUCUUGGCCAACAUUUCAACCAGCACUCUCGAGAAGAAGUGUGUUCAACAACCUGGACCAUCCCUUAAAUGGCUUCCAUUAAAGAAGAGUGCGCCAUGCAAAGUUCAAGCCCCAAAGGUUGUGGUGAAACAGGAGGCUGUUAAGUUUACUGUUCUCCACACCCCCGUCUGUUCAAGACCCUUCCCUACCCAGCCAGCGGAGGAGGAUGAGAAACAAUCGGCCUACUACACCUCACCAGGUAGCAAGAUACCUCGCCUAGAUAAGCAGAGGGAGCGGAGACCAGAGGCUACCCAGCCAGAGGAGGAGAAAGUUCAAGCCCCAAAGGUUGUGGUGAAACAAGAGGCUGUUAAGUUUACUGUUCUCCACACCCCCGUCUGUUCAAGACCCUUCCCUACC